UACAGAGGUCUCAAGCGUUGUUCGGAAUCACUGGGCGUAAAGGGUGCGUAGGCGGGUUUUUAAGUCAGAGGUGAAAUCCUGGAGCUCAACUCCAGAACUGCCUUUGAUACUGAAGAUCUUGAGUUCGGGAGAGGUGAGUGGAACUGCGAGUGUAGAGGUGAAAUUCGUAGAUAUUCGCAAGAACACCAGUGGCGAAGGCGGCUCACUGGCCCGAUACUGACGCUGAGGCACGAAAGCGUGGGAGC
rnacentral:rRNA from 1 species